ensembl:lncRNA
UCUGAAGCCCCAGGCCCCUAUCCCAUGGCUCAAGAUGGCGUCUAUAUCUCAUUUUACCUUUCUGUCUCUGAACCCCUUAUGUAUGUGAGGUCUCUGACUCUCUCAUAUAUGUGGAGUUCCCAUACAUAUGAAAUUAAAUUUGAUUUUCUCCUGAUAAUUUGUCUUGUGUCAGUUUAAUACUUAGAUCAGCCAGAACCUAGAAGGGUAGAGGAAAAUUUCUUCCUCCCCCACAGUUGGUGUAGUUGGUAGGAUAAGCUUCCCUGGCUAGACUCUGCUCCCUCUGAGGCCGCUGCAGAGAGAUCCUGGGACAUCUGACAAGCGCCAGCAGAAGAUUUCCUCUUUCUGGACCAUUUGAGCACCUGCAGCUGGACUUCAUUCAACUGCCACUCAGACACAAUUGGAAACUGCUUACAUUGCCAAGGCUUUGAUUGGAAUGCCACAUUUGAGAAAGACAUACAUAGACUCAUAUAUAACCAGACAGCUUUAAGGAACUAAGAUUGACUUUAUGGAGCCAAUAAAGACCUUUGGAAAAAACAACCUGGUACCUUGCUUACAUGGUCCCUGACAGCCUAACCAGAAAUGCCUCUUAUUAAAUUCCUGGUUGCUGGCACUAUAGGCGUAACUUUGGGAGCCCACCUGUAUCACCACCUCCUGAAAAGAGAGAAAACUGUUUAAAUGAACUGACUUAUUCUCAGAACUAAGAGACUGGCUCAACGAGAUAGAGCAUUCUACCAGCUUAACUUCUGAAAUGUGAAACUUCUCAGGAAGUCUCAAAGGGAGCCUGAGGGAUUCAGAACAGACAGAACAAGAUCUGCCACUUUGGCAUAUGGAAUAUAUUUUGAGCUACAGGCAAUGAAGACCUUGUGGGCUCAAGAGAAAACUCUUACCUCAGCCUUAAAGAAUUUAAAUUGAGGGCCUUGCCCAUAAUAAAAAUUAUUACCAGAAAUAACUUUUUAUGACCUACAUGCAUGGUAGGGCAAACAUCUAAUUACUAAACAUCUGCUUUUCUUAUUGUCCUGUGAACUCACCUCCUCCCCUUUGAAGCCCCAGGGCUCUAUCCCAUUCCUCAACUCAGGAUGGUAUAUGUGCUUCAUUUGCCUUUCUAUCUCUGAAUCUCUCAUGUAUGUGGGGGUCUCUGACUCUCUCAUGUUUGUGGGGUUCCUGUACAUAAAAAAUUAAAUUUGAUUUUAUCCUGUUAAUCUGUUCCCUGUCAACAAAAUUCUUAGACCAGCCAGAAGAACCCAGAAGGCUAGAGAAAAAUUUCUUCCUCGCCCACAUUAGUUAAAAAUGUUUCCAUAUUCACACUCAUUGAACAAAUGUGUGUGAAGAAUUUUCUGGGUGCCCAGCUCAAUGCUCUGAACUUGGGAUAAAACUGGAAUAAGAUAGGUUUCUAACCUCAAGGAGCUCACAAAGUUGGAAGACGACAGAAGGGUGGUGAGAGAAACAUGAAACAAAUAAUGUCUUAUAACAUUGCUGUAAGUGCUAGAUGAGAGUAUAAAUUGUAGUUUGGGGAAUUAAAUUGUCUUAAAAGAAAUAUAAGAGAAAAAGUUUCUUGAAAAUAAAUGUUUUUACAGUUUAAAAGAGGUUACUGUAUCAGCUCAUUAAUAAUAAUAGUAGUAAUAGCUGCUACUUUUUUCUUUUUAUUGUCUCAUAUGUAUAAGACACUCUUUUACCUAUGUCCUUUGAUUUAAUCCCAGCUCUGAUGAGACAAAUCUUAACAGCCUCAUUUUACAGAUGAACUGAAUCAUAGUGGCUUUAAGAAUAGAAAAGCUUCACAUCUGUGCCGAUGGCUGACACAUGAUUCAGCCUCAAAGGGAUGAAAUGAACUACAUUAUCUUCUUGACUUACUUCAAGUAUUGUUAUUUUACAGUGUAUUUCCCUCUGUAGGUUGUAGUUACAAAAGAUGAAAAGUCACUGCCUUUAGGUUACCAGAACCUCGUAAUACUAUUGAAAUGGAGCUAUGUGCUAGAACAUGGAGAUGUCUUUGUCAUGCAAAACAUUCCAUUAAAAAUUUGAUAUUAACUAUUUAUCUAUACAGAUAUAUAUAUAGUUAGCAAAGAAAGCAUUUCUUCUUUCUCUUUAAGUAAACUUCUUAAAAUUUCCAUAUGAAUGAAUUCAAAGCACAAUCAAAAUAUGCACAAUCAAAAAGAGAAGUGUUCUCUUCUUUUGUAAUUCCCAAAAUGCUAAUAUUGUUAAUUGUACUCAAUAUAUUUUGAAUAAUGUAAUUUAAACUCUAGCUAUUUAACUCCAUUUUCCUGCCAAUUUAGUCAUUGUGCUCCUGCCAUAUUUGUCUCUCUUCAUAACCUAAAAUAAAGGAUGAAGGCUGAAUAAUAAAACAAAAUGCUUAACUCUAUUUUGUAUUCAUUCUGCCAUCCUUUUAUUGAAACACUUUGAAUAGUAUCUACAUAUGACUUCAAUAACUAUCAUAAUACUGUAUUCUCAAUUGAAAUGAAAUGAUAGAGACCAUAAAUAUUUGAUGUCCUUUCUCCCUAUUACUCUCUAUGUAUGCUUUCCAUCUUGAUGUCAGGGGACCAUUCUGAAGAGAGUAGGAUGAGAUUUCAUAUUUGCUAAGAGAUUUCUUUUGCAUAAUGCUUUAGAAAUGCUCAGGAAGUCAAGAGUUCAGCUGUUGAAAGUCUAUAAACCAUUGCAUAAAUUAUAGCAGCUUUUAAAAUCCUCACCAUAAAAGUCUCAUAAAAGGUUAUUUUCAUAUUUAAAAUUCACUGUGAAUUUAUUUUUUGACCAGAAAAUGACAUAAGAGUUGUCUUUAAGCUACUGUAAUUCCCAGGUGUGUUUCUAAUUAAUUAAAGUCAUGUCAAAACA